UGCAAGUCGAACGGAUUUGAGUGCAAACUCAAGUCAGUGGCGGAAGGGUUAGUAAUGCACAGGUAACGUACCGUAAUCCUGGGAAUAACAUUCAGAAAUGAGUGCUAAUACCGAAUGUCGUCAAUUUUCGGCAUCGAAGAUUGAUGAAAGCGGGGGACUCCGAGAGGAGCCUUGCGGGAUAUGAGCGGCCUGUGUGGCAUCAGCUUGUUGGUAGGGUAAUGGCCUACCAAGGCUGAGACGCCUAGGCGGACUGGGAGGUCGAUCGCCAACACUGGGACUGAGAACUGCCCAGACUCCUACGGGAGGCUGCAGUCGAGAAUCUUUCGCAAUGGGCGCAAGCCUGACGAAGCGACGCCGUGUGUGUGAUGAAGGUUUUAGGAUCGUAAAGCACUUUCGCCUGUGAGCAAGAACUGACUUCUAAUAARGGUUAGUUUUGAGAGUAGCAGGUAAAGAAGCGCCGGCCAACUACGUGCCAGCAGCUGCGGUAAUACGUAGGGCGCGAGCAUUAAUCGGAUUUAUUGGGUGUAAAGGGUGCGUAGGCGGCUGAGCAAGUUGGAUGUGAAAUUCCGGAGUUCAUCUCCGGACUGCAUACAAAACUGCUYGGCUAGAGUAUAAGAGGGGAAAGCGGAAUUCCACAAGUAGCGGUGAAAUGCGUAGAUAUGUGGAGGAACACCGGUGGCGAAGGCGGCUUUCUGGAUUAUUACUGACGCUGAGGCACGAAAGCAUGGGGAGCAAACAGGAUUAG
rnacentral:rRNA from 1 species